UAGCUAUAUAAUUUCAUUCAUACAAGAGAACACAGUUCCAAAUACAAUAGUGGCAAUACUUCAAUUCAAAAUAUUUCACAUUCCUAAUCCAUCUCAAUAGGUACAUAAUACUUAAACUAGAGUAAUUGGAAUGACUACAUGAAGACAAUGAAAGCUAACACGAGAUAGUGCUACACAUACAAAAGUUAUGUCAAAAGCCGAGAGGAAAUUUCUAUCUAAUAAUCAACUCGAUCGCUUCCCUUUUGCAUUCGCUUCCGCACUAGAAUUCGCCUUACAUAUUUGCACGUUCACCAAAAUAUGUAGGUCUUCAUCAUCGUUUAGGUGAACGCGAGAUUCAAACAUUUUGGACAUUUCUUCAUCAUUUUUGUUUGUCGCAAAGUUUACUAAUGAAGAAUUGUUGCUAGACGAUUCAUCGGGUGAUUUUUCUUUGACAACCCAAUCUCAAAAUCCGCAUUUCUCACUGCAACAGAGAAAUAAUCUCUCUUUAUUUGCUGUCUGCUUCUCCACCAUGAAAUACUUCUCAUAUCCAUUCUUGCAUGCCGGGCAUCUGCACUUCCUUGGGCUUUCAUAAAAUAAAUGGCCUCUAUCUCUACAACUAUAACACAUUCCUCUAUUCUUUCCGCCCAUUCUGCCAUACAAAUAAAUCACGAUUAACAGAAAUGAAUUCACGGCCACUAUAACAAUUAAAGAAACCACGUCAAUGUUGAAGAACAUUGAUAAUUUCAUCUCAAAUUUCACAGUGAUCAUGCAAUAACAGGCUGUGAUUGUUGACAAUUGCUGACAACAUGUUGGAAUGCAACAUACAGAGCCUUCUUCAUCAUUAAUGUAACAUGUUAGACCCCCUUCAAUUUAGCAGCACUAAACUAUGAACAACCAUGGAGGUGAACACUCGAAAAUAACAAAAACACAAACAUUAACUUCAUAGUAACGUGGAAAAAUAGUGAUAAAGAUGUAUAAUGACAUUGCACAAUGAAAUUAAAAAGAAUAAAAAUUUCAUACAAAGACACCAACAGUUCACCAACAAUUCACAAAUUUUUUAUACGAAUUUAAUAAAAAAUGUGCAAAAAUGGGAGAUGAAGAUUGCAAUAUCCCGAAAUUCAGCUACGCGAUGCCAUAUCAUAAACAAAUCUAAAUAAACUAGGGUGCCUUCACUAUAUAACUUUGUUUGCCGACAACAGUGAAUCAAGAGCUGGUGGAAAUGGAUGGAAACGAGAACAAACCCAUUGUUGGAAAUGGUGAGGCGAUGGCAAAACCCUCCGAUCGAAGUACAGUCGUAGCAUUGACGGUGAUGUCGUCCGAAGUGUGGUCGGAGAUGGUGAUGUUCGGGUUCCAACUUGGGAGAUUUGAUUUGGGGGCUUAGGCUUCGUUUUGGGAGAAAAUGGCACAGUUUUGUCUUGCUUUCGAUAAAC
rnacentral:lncRNA from 1 species